rnacentral:rRNA from 1 species
AAAACAUAGCCUUUAGCCCAAUAAGUAUUAAAGGUGAUGCCUGCCCAGUGAUUUUUUUCAACGGCCGCGGGAUCCUACACCGUGCAAAGGUAGCAUAAUCACUUGUCAUCUAAAUAAUGACUAGUAUGAAUGGCCCAAUGAGGACUUCCCUGUCUCUUGUAACCAAUCUAUGAAACUGAUCUCUCAGUCCAAAAGCUGAGAUACUUACACAAGACGAAAAGACCCUGUGGAACUUCAAGUGCUAAUCAACCCAUGACACAACCACUUUUAGUUGGGGCAACUUUGGAACAAAACAAAACUUCCAAUCAAACCAGUAAAUCAAGGCCAACACACCAAUAUUUACUCUUACACCGACCCAGUACUACUGAUUAAAGAAACAAGCUACCCCAGGGAUAACAGCGCCAUCCCCUCUUAGAGUCCCAAUCGAUGAGCGGGGCUUACGACCUCGAUGUUGGAUCAGGGCCCCCAAACAGUGCAGCAGCUGUUAAAGGUUUGUUUGUUCAACAAUUAAUG